UACGGAGGGUGCGAGCGUUAAUCGGAAUUACUGGGCGUAAAGGGUGCGUAGGUUGUUUGAUAAGUUAUCUGUGAAAUACCUGGGCUUAACCUGGGCCUGUCAGAUAAGACUGUUGAACUCGAGUAUGGGAGAGGGUAGUGGAAUUUCCGGUGUAGCGGUGAAAUGCGUAGAGAUCGGAAGGAACACCAGUGGCGAAGGCGGCUACCUGGCCUAAUACUGACACUGAGGCACGAAAGCGUGGGGAGCAAACAGG
rnacentral:rRNA from 1 species